rnacentral:rRNA from 1 species
UACGGGGGGGGCAAGCGUUGUUCGGAAUUACUGGGCGUAAAGGGCGCGUAGGCGGUCAGCACAAGUCAGUUGUGAAAUCUCCGGGCUUAACUCGGAAAGGUCAACUGAUACUGUGCGACUAGAGUGCGGAAGGGGCAACUGGAAUCCUCGGUGUAGCGGUGAAAUGCGUAGAUAUCGAGAGGAACACCUGCGGCGAAGGCGGGUUGCUGGGCCGACACUGACGCUGAUGCGCGAAAGCCAGGGGAGCGAACGGG